GAUGGAGUUUCACUCUUGUCUCCCAGGCUGUGGGUGCAAUGGGAGAAACAGGAAAACUUUGAAGAAUCUUCCAGAUUUGCCUAACGCAGAUGUGCAUGACCUGACAAGAUAGAUGUGCCAUUUGGACCCUUUCAAGAGCAGACAGAAUGGAAGGGAGGUAAUACAGAUCAAUUACAGAUGUGGGUUGCUUUAUUUUUUUUUUUUUUAUUUUGAGGUGGAGUCUCGCUCUGUUACCCAAGCUGGAGUGCAGUGGUACAAUCUCAUCUCACUGCAACCUCCGCCUCCUGGGUUCAAGUGAUUCUCCUGCCUCAGCCUCCCAAGUAGCUGGGAUUACAGGUGUGUGCCACCACGCCUGGCUAAUUUUGUAUUUUUAGCAGGGACGGGGUUUCACUAUGUUGGCCAGGCUGGUCUUGAACUCCUGACCUCAAGUGAUCCGCCCAACUCGCACUCCCGAAGUGCUGGGAUUACAGGCGUGAACCACCGUGCCCAGCCUGUGUGUUGCUUAUUGACACCUGAGAAAGUCGACAUAAGGCAAUUCCGUCAUUGUGUGAACAUCACAGGGUGCACUUACACAGACCUAGAUGGCACAGCCUACCACACACCUAGGCCACAUGGUGUAACCUAUUGCUCCUACGCUACCAACCUGUACAGCUUGUUACCCCACUGAAUACUGUAGGCAACUGUAACAAAAUGGUAAGUGAUUGUGUAUCUAAACACUUCUUUAUCAUUAUUAUUAUACCUUAAGUUCUAGGGUACAUGUGCACAAUGUGCAGGUUUGUUACGUAAGUAUACAUGUGCCAUGUUGGUUUGCUGUACCCAUUAACUCGUCAUUUACAUUAGGUAUUUCUCCUAAUGCUAUCCCUCCCCCCUCCCCCCACCCCAUGACAGACCCCAGUGUGUGAUGUUAUCUGCCCUGUGUCCAAGUGUUCUCAUUGUUCAAUUCCCACCUAUGAGUGAGAACAUGCAGUGUUUGGUUUUCUGUCCUUGUGUUAGUUUGCUCAGAAUGAUGGUUUCCAGCUUCAUCCAUGUCCCUGCAAAGGACAUGACGUCCUCCUUUUUUAUGGCUGUAUAGUAUUCCAUGGUGUGUAUGUGCCACAUUUUCUUAAUCCAGUCUAUCAUUAAUGGAUAUUUGGGUUGGUUCCGAGUUUUUGCUAUUGUGAAUAGUGCCGCAAUAAACAUACGUGUGCAUGUGUCUUUAUAGUAGCAUGAUUUAUAAUCCUUUGGGUAUAUACCCAGUAAUGGGAUGGCUGGGUCAAGUGGUAUUUCUAGUUCUAGAUCCUUGAGGAAUCGCCA
rnacentral:lncRNA from 1 species